rnacentral:rRNA from 1 species
ACUCUAAGCGGUGGAUCACUCGGCUCAUGGGUCGAUGAAGAACGCAGCAAACUGUGCGUCAUCGUGUGAACUGCAGGACACAUGAACAUCGACAUUUUGAACGCAUAUCGCAGUCCAUGCUGUUAUGUACUUUAAUUAAUUUUAUAGUGCUGCUUGGACUACAUAUGGUUGAGGGUUGUAAGACUAUGCUAAUUAAGUUGCUUAUAAAUUUUUAUAAGCAUAUGGUAUAUUAUUGGAUAAAUAUAAUAAUUUUUAUUCAUAAUAUUAAAAAAUAAAUGAAAAACAUUAUCUCACAUUUGAAUGUGAAAAACGAAGAGAAAUAUUUUCUUUUUCAAUCAAAUAAUACUGAGAAAUGUCUAGCAUAAAAAAUUGAAAUAUUUUUCAUCUAGAAUUGUCUCUUAUUAAUGAUUCGGAAAUAGAAAAAUCUUGGUUAUGUUAUUAUUCUUCGUUGGUUCGUUAAAAAUGGAUAAAUAAAAACUUUGCAUACAAGAAUUAAUAAAAAUGUUAUAACGAAUUUAAUUAAAUGUUUUAUCAUUAUAUAUAAAGAAUUUAUGGCAAGAUAAAGUUAUAUACAACCUCAACUCAUAUGGGACUACCCCCUGAAUUUAAGCAUAUUAAUUAGGGGAGGAAAAGAAACUAACAAGGAUUUUCUUAGUAGCGGCGAGCGAAAAGAAAACAGUUCAGCACUAAGUCACUUUGUCUAUAUGGCAAAUGUGAGAUGCAGUGUAUGGAGCGUCAAUAUUCUAGUAUGAGAAAUUAACGAUUUAAGUCCUUCUUAAAUGAGGCCAUUUACCCAUAGAGGGUGCCAGGCCCGUAUAACGUUAAUGAUUACUAGAUGAUGUUUCCAAAGAGUCGUGUUGCUUGAUAGUGCAGCACUAAGUGGGUGGUAAACUCCAUCUAAAACUAAAUAUAACCAUGAGACCGAUAGUAAACAAGUACCGUGAGGGAAAGUUGAAAAGAACUCUGAAUAGAGAGUUAAACAGUACGUGAAACUGCUUAGAGGUUAAGCCCGAUGAACCUGAAUAUCCGUUAUGGAAAAUUCAUCAUUAAAAUUGUAAUAUUUAAAUAAUAUUAUGAGAAUAGUGUGCAUUUUUUCCAUAUAAGGACAUUGUAAUCUAUUAGCAUAUACCAAAUUUAUCAUAAAAUAUAACUUAUAGUUUAUUCCAAUUAAAUUGCUUGCAUUUUAACACAGAAUAAAUGUUAUUAAUUUGAUAAAGUGCUGAUAGAUUUAUAUGAUUACAGUGCGUUAAUUUUUCGGAAUUAUAUAAUGGCAUAAUUAUCAUUGAUUUUUGUGUUUAUUAUAUGCACUUGUAUGAUUAACAAUGCGAAAGAUUCAGGAUACCUUCGGGACCCGUCUUGAAACACGGACCAAGGAGUCUAACAUAUGUGCAAGUUAUUGGGAUAUAAACCUAAUAGCGUAAUUAACUUGACUAAUAAUGGGAUUAGUUUUUUAGCUAUUUAUAGCUAAUUAACACAAUCCCGGGGCGUUCUAUAUAGUUAUGUAUAAUGUAUAUUUAUAUUAUUUAUGCCUCUAACUGGAACGUACCUUGAGCAUAUAUGCUGUGACCCGAAAGAUGGUGAACUAUACUUGAUCAGGUUGAAGUCAGGGGAAACCCUGAUGGAAGACCGAAACAGUUCUGACGUGCAAAUCGAUUGUCAGAAUUGAGUAUAGGGGCGAAAGACCAAUCGAACCAUCUAGUAGCUGGUUCCUUCCGAAGUUUCCCUCAGGAUAGCUGGUGCAUUUUAAUAUUAUAUAAAAUAAUCUUAUCUGGUAAAGCGAAUGAUUAGAGGCCUUAGGGUCGAAACGAUCUUAACCUAUUCUCAAACUUUAAAUGGGUAAGAACCUUAACUUUCUUGAUAUGAAGUUCAAGGUUAUGAUAUAAUGUGCCCAGUGGGCCACUUUUGGUAAGCAGAACUGGCGCUGUGGGAUGAACCAAACGUAAUGUUACGGUGCCCAAAUUAACAACUCAUGCAGAUACCAUGAAAGGCGUUGGUUGCUUAAAACAGCAGGACGGUGAUCAUGGAAGUCGAAAUCCGCUAAGGAGUGUGUAACAACUCACCUGCCGAAGCAACUAGCCCUUAAAAUGGAUGGCGCUUAAGUUGUAUACCUAUACAUUACCGCUAAAGUAGAUGAUUUAUAUUACUUGUGAUAUAAAUUUUGAAACUUUAGUGAGUAGGAAGGUACAAUGGUAUGCGUAGAAGUGUUUGGCGUAAGCCUGCAUGGAGCUGCCAUUGGUACAGAUCUUGGUGGUAGUAGCAAAUAAUCGAAUGAGACCUUGGAGGACUGAAGUGGAGAAGGGUUUCGUGUGAACAGUGGUUGAUCACGAGUUAGUCGGUCCUAAGUUCAAGGCGAAAGCCGAAAAUUUUCAAGUAAAACAAAAAUGCCUAACUAUAUAAACAAAGCGAAUUAUAAUACACUUGAAUAAUUUUGAACGAAAGGGAAUACGGUUCCAAUUCCGUAACCUGUUGAGUAUCCGUUUGUUAUUAAAUAUGGGCCUCGUGCUCAUCCUGGCAACAGGAACGACCAUAAAGAAGCCGUCGAGAGAUAUCGGAAGAGUUUUCUUUUCUGUUUUAUAGCCGUACUACCAUGGAAGUCUUUCGCAGAGAGAUAUGGUAGAUGGGCUAGAAGAGCAUGACAUAUACUGUUGUGUCGAUAUUUUCUCCUCGGACCUUGAAAAUUUAUGGUGGGGACACGCAAACUUCUCAACAGGCCGUACCAAUAUCCGCAGCUGGUCUCCAAGGUGAAGAGUCUCUAGUCGAUAGAAUAAUGUAGGUAAGGGAAGUCGGCAAAUUAGAUCCGUAACUUCGGGAUAAGGAUUGGCUCUGAAGAUUGAGAUAGUCGGGCUUGAUUGGGAAACAAUAACAUGGUUUAUGUGCUCGUUCUGGGUAAAUAGAGUUUCUAGCAUUUAUGUUAGUUACUUGUUCCCCGGAUAGUUUAGUUACGUAGCCAAUUGUGGAACUUUCUUGCUAAAAUUUUUAAGAAUACUAUUUGGGUUAAACCAAUUAGUUCUUAUUAAUUAUAACGAUUAUCAAUUAACAAUCAAUUCAGAACUGGCACGGACUUGGGGAAUCCGACUGUCUAAUUAAAACAAAGCAUUGUGAUGGCCCUAGCGGGUGUUGACACAAUGUGAUUUCUGCCCAGUGCUCUGAAUGUCAAAGUGAAGAAAUUCAAGUAAGCGCGGGUCAACGGCGGGAGUAACUAUGACUCUCUUAAGGUAGCCAAAUGCCUCGUCAUCUAAUUAGUGACGCGCAUGAAUGGAUUAACGAGAUUCCUACUGUCCCUAUCUACUAUCUAGCGAAACCACAGCCAAGGGAACGGGCUUGGAAUAAUUAGCGGGGAAAGAAGACCCUUUUGAGCUUGACUCUAAUCUGGCAGUGUAAGGAGACAUAAGAGGUGUAGAAUAAGUGGGAGAUAUUAGACCUCGGUUUGGUAUCGUCAAUGAAAUACCACUACUCUUAUUGUUUCCUUACUUACUUGAUUAAAUGGAACGUGUAUCAUUUCCUAGCCAUUAUACGGAUAUAUUUAUUAUAUCUUAUGGUAUUGGGUUUUGAUGCAAGCUUCUUGAUCAAAGUAUCACGAGUUUGUUAUAUAAUCGCAAACAAAUUCUUUAAUAAAACGAUGCAUUUAUGUAUUUUUGAUUUGAAAAUUUGGUAUAACUCCAAUUACUCAGGUAUGAUCCAAUUCAAGGACAUUGCCAGGUAGGGAGUUUGACUGGGGCGGUACAUCUCUCAAAUAAUAACGGAGGUGUCCCAAGGCCAGCUCAGUGCGGACAGAAACCACACAUAGA